AUGGCUACAAGGCUCCUCUGCUACACAGCCCUUUGUCUCCUGGGAACAGGUUCCUUUAAUGCCAAAGUCAUCCAGACGCCAAGAUUCCUGGUCAAAGAGAAAGAGCGGAAAGCAAAGAUGAGCUGUUACCCUGAAAAGGGGCAUGCUGUUGUUUUCUGGUAUCAACAGAAUAAGAACAAUGCGUUUACAUUUUUGAUUAGCUUUCAGAAUCAAGAGGUUCUUCAACAAACAGAUAUGGUCAAGAAACGAUUCUUAGCUGAGUGUCCUUCAAACUCACCCUGCAGCCUGGAAAUCCAGUCCUCUGAGGCAGGAGACUCAGCACUGUACCUCUGUGCCAGCAGUCUCUUCCCGGGUGGUUGGGCCCAGAAUUUUGGAGAGGGGACUCGACUCUCUGUUCUAGAGGACCUGAGCAAGGUGAGCCCGCCCAAGGUCACCGUGUUUGAGCCAUCAGAAGCAGAGAUCGUCAACAAACAAAUGGCUACCCUCGUGUGCCUGGCCAGGGGCUUCUACCCUGACCACGUGGAACUGAGCUGGUGGGUGAACGGGAAGGAGCUGCGCAGUGGAGUCAGCACAGACCCUCAGCCCUACAAGGAGACCAAUAACAUCACCUACUGCCUGAGCAGCCGCCUGAGGGUCUCUGCAACCUUCUGGCACAAUCCUCGCAACCACUUCCGCUGCCAAGUCCAGUUCUAUGGGCUUACAGCUGAAGAUGAGUGGGACAAGGCCUCGCCCAAGCCUGUCACCCAGAACGUCAGUGCAGAGGUCCGGGGCCGAGCAGAUUGUGGUAUUACCUCAGUAUCCUACCAACAAGGGGUCCUGUCGGCCACUGUCCUUUAUGAGAUCCUGCUGGGGAAAGCCACCCUGUAUGCAGUACUCGUCAGCACCCUAGUGCUGAUGGCCAUGGUUAAAAGAAAGCAUUCCUGAGGCCAGACCUGGAGGCAGAGCCCAGAGCUUCCAAUCCAUUAUGUGAACUCGGAUUCUCUUUUUCCAUUACUUCUGAAGACCUGUUCUCGCUUGUCUGUGCAUCCUAAAGUCUGCCUACUGGUCAUGUAUGCUUACACAUGUUCAUCUGAAAUCCCUGUGACCUGGAGAGUGCCUAGCACACUUAAAACCAAUAAAC